UGUCCGAUGGCUGAGCCAUAAGCGGUAGACUGUAGAUCUAUUAACGGAGUUAAGUCUCCUCGACAA
rnacentral:tRNA from 1 species